rnacentral:rRNA from 1 species
AAAUUGAAGAGUUUGAUCAUGGCUCAGAUUGAACGCUGGCGGCAGGCCUAACACAUGCAAGUCGAACGGUAACAGGAAACAGCUUGCUGUUUCGCUGACGAGUGGCGGACGGGUGAGUAAUGUCUGGGAAACUGCCUGAUGGAGGGGGAUAACUACUGGAAACGGUAGCUAAUACCGCAUAAUGUCGCAAGACUAAAGAGGGGGACCUUCGGGCCUCUUGCCAUCGGAUGUGCCCAGAUGGGAUUAGCUAGUAGGUGGGGUAACGGCUCACCUAGGCGACGAUCCCUAGCUGGUCUGAGAGGAUGACCAGCCACACUGGAACUGAGACACGGUCCAGACUCCUACGGGAGGCAGCAGUGGGGAAUAUUGCACAAUGGGCGCAAGCCUGAUGCAGCCAUGCCGCGUGUAUGAAGAAGGCCUUCGGGUUGUAAAGUACUUUCAGCGGGGAGGAAGGGAGUAAA